AUUGAACGCUGGCGGCAGGCCUAACACAUGCAAGUCGAGCGGAUGAAAUGAGCUUGCUCAUGGAUUCAGCGGCGGACGGGUGAGUAAUACCUAGGAAUCUGCCUGGUAGUGGGGGACAACGUUUCGAAAGGAACGCUAAUACCGCAUACGUCCUACGGGAGAAAGCAGGGGACCUUCGGGCCUUGCGCUAUCAGAUGAGCCUAGGUCGGAUUAGCUAGUUGGCGGGGUAAUGGCCCACCAAGGCGACGAUCCGUAACUGGUCUGAGAGGAUGAUCAGUCACACUGGAACUGAGACACGGUCCAGACUCCUACGGGAGGCAGCAGUGGGGAAUAUUGGACAAUGGGCGAAAGCCUGAUCCAGCCAUGCCGCGUGUGUGAAGAAGGUCUUCGGAUUGUAAAGCACUUUAAGUUGGGAGGAAGGGUUGUACGUUAAUACCGUGCAAUUUUGACGUUACCGACAGAAUAAGCACCGGCUAACUUCGUGCCCAGCAGCCGCGGUAAUACGAAGGGUGCAAGCGUUAAUCGGAAUUACUGGGCGUAAAGCGCGCGUAGGUGGUUCAGCAAGUUGAGGUGAAAUCCCCGGGCUCAACCUGGGAACUGCCUCCAAAACUACUGAGCUAGAGUACGGUAGAGGGUAGUGGAAUUUCCUGUGUAGCGGUGAAAUGCGUAGAUAUAGGAAGGAACACCAGUGGCGAAGGCGACUACCUGGACUGAUACUGACACUGAGGUGCGAAAGCGUGGGGAGCAAAACAGGAUUAGAUACCCUGGUAGUCCACGCCGUAAACGAUGUCGACUAGCCGUUGGGAUCCUUGAGAUCUUAGUGGCGCAGCUAAACGCAUUAAGUCGACCGCCUGGGGAGUACGGCCGCAAGGGUUAAAACUCAAAUGAAUUGACGGGGGGCCCGCACAAGCGGUGGAGCAUGUGGUUUAAUUCGAAAGCAACGCGAAGAACCUUACCUGGCCUUGACAUGCUGAGAACUUUCCAGAGAUGGAUUGGUGCCUUCGGGAACUCAGACACAGGUGCUGCAUGGCUGUCGUCAGCUCGUGUCGUGAGAUGUUGGGUUAAGUCCCGUAACGAGCGCAACCCUUGUCCUUAGUUACCAGCACGUUAUGGUGGGCACUCUAAGGAGACUGCCGGUGACAAACCGGAGGAAGGUGGGGAUGACGUCAAGUCAUCAUGGCCCUUACGGCCAGGGCUACACACGUGCUACAAUGGUCGGUACAAAGGGUUGCCAAGCCGCGAGGUGGAGCUAAUCCCAUAAAACCGAUCGUAGUCCGGAUCGCAGUCUGCAACUCGACUGCGUGAAGUCGGAAUCGCUAGUAAUCGUGAAUCAGAAUGUCACGGUGAAUACGUUCCCGGGCCUUGUACACACCGCCCGUCA
rnacentral:rRNA from 1 species